rnacentral:rRNA from 1 species
UACGUCGGGGGCAAGCGUUGUCCGGAUUUAUUGGGCGUAAAGAGCGUGUAGGCGGCCAGGUAGGUCCGUUGUGAAAACUCGAGGCUUAACCUCGAGACGUCGAUGGAAACCAUCUGGCUAGAGUCCGGAAGAGGAGAGUGGAAUUCCUGGUGUAGCGGUGAAAUGCGCAGAUAUCAGGAGGAACACCGGUGGCGAAGGCGGCAGUCUGGACCGAUAUUGACGCUGAGGAGCGAAAGCCAGGGGAGCAAACGGG